AAUACCCUCCCUCUCUCAUACUCUCUUGAAGAUUCCUCGAAACCUUAACCCUCUUCUACCACUUUCAACUGCCAACUCAACGGAAUCCAUGGCUUCUCAGGCCAUGGAUGGCCUAUACUCACCUCCCUCCACACUUAAAUGCUUGGUGGUCGAAGUUUCAAUGUCUGACCUCGAUGGUGUUCGUUUAGAUUUUCUUUGAUUCAAAGUUCCAUGGCCUCUCCGGCCUUAGUCCGGCAUAUCCAACGCGUUUCAAGCCUGGUUCCGACACAACUGAC
rnacentral:lncRNA from 1 species